GAACGAACGCUGGCGGCAUGCCUAACACAUGCAAGUCGAACGAGACCUUCGGGUCUAGUGGCGCACGGGUGCGUAACGCGUGGGAAUCUGCCCUUAGGUUCGGAAUAACUUCGGGAAACUGAAGCUAAUACCGGAUGAUGACGUAAGUCCAAAGAUUUAUCGCCUAAGGAUGAGCCCGCGUUGGAUUAGCUAGUUGGUGAGGUAAAGGCUCACCAAGGCGACGAUCCAUAGCUGGUCUGAGAGGAUGAUCAGCCACACUGGGACUGAGACACGGCCCAGACUCCUACGGGAGGCAGCAGUGGGAAUAUUGGACAAUGGGCGAAAGCCUGAUCCAGCAAUGCCGCGUGAGUGAUGAAGGCCUUAGGGUUGUAAAGCUCUUUUACCCGGGAUGAUAAUGACAGUACCGGGAGAAUAAGCUCCGGCUAACUCCGUG
rnacentral:rRNA from 1 species